rnacentral:rRNA from 1 species
GACGAACGCUGGCGGCGUGCUUAACACAUGCAAGUCGAACGGUGACGGAGAGCUUGCUCUCCUGAUCAGUGGCGAACGGGUGAGUAACACGUGAGCAACCUACCCCUGACUCUGGGAUAACAGUUGGAAACAGCUGCUAAUACCGGAUACGACCCUGGCAGGCAUCUGCCGGGGUGGAAAGCUCCGACAGUCAGGGAUGGGCUCGCGGCCUAUCAGCUUGUUGGUGAGGUAACGGCUCACCAAGGCGUCGACGGGUAGCCGGCCUGAGAGGGCGACCGGCCACACUGGGACUGAGAUACGGCCCAGACUCCUACGGGAGGCAGCAGUGGGGAAUAUUGCGCAAUGGGCGAAAGCCUGACGCAGCAACGCCGCGUGCGGGAUGACGGCCUCGGUGUAACGCUUCAGCAGGACGAAGGUUCGUGACGGUACUGCAGAGAAGCACCGGCUAACUACGUGCCAGCAGCCGCGGUAACA